rnacentral:misc_RNA from 1 species
GGAGGGGGAAUGUAAAACAUGUAGUCCAUUAUUGAAACACCUUCUGUUUCAGUAUCGUAGGCACUUUAAUGCCACUUCUUGUCAUUAGUAACAUUAAGUUACAUGCUGGUAAAAUUAUUAAAUUGUUAACUGAAUAGUUUUUUUCUUCUUGAAUGAUGCGUGUAAUAAUUUUUAAGGAUGCUUUGUUCAUUGAAUCUUCAUUUACAUAUAUUGCAGACUGUUAAUUGAUUCUGGCAAAU